rnacentral:lncRNA from 1 species
CAAAUGUGCCACAGAGAAAAACCUCCUAGCCGUCAUUGGAGGACUAGGCUCUGACACUUCUUUCCAUUUGAUGGAUAUCUUAGCUCUAUAUAAGAUACCACAGGUAGGAUAUGUACAUGGGGGCUGGUGGUAAUGUCAUAUUUUUCUGUAUUUGCAACUUGGAAUAAUGUGAUGGUUCAAAAGAAAGAACUAGUGAUGAGAAAGGACUUCAGGAUGAGAACAGAAAUCGUGUUCCGGCACCGUGGCGGUAGCAGGAGGCCCCAUUAGCUAAAGUGGUGCUUUAGGUUAAGAACAGUUUCAGGUUAAGAACGGACCUCCGGAACGAAUUAAGUACCUAACCUGAGGUGCCACUGUAUCUUUAUGUUUUAUUACAGCUUACAUAUGGCUCAUUUACCAUAGAUGAGACCAAAAUAAUGAAAGUUGCUCCCUUUUACCAGAUGGUCCCAAACGAAAACCUUCAGUAUAUGGGGAUUAUAUGGUUACUUCAGCAUUUUAGGUGGAGCUGGGUUGGGCUCUUUGUUGUGGAUGAUAACAGUGGAGAGCAAUUCCUAAAGAUCCUGGAGCCAUUGUUUUCCAGACAUGAAAUUUGUUCAGCCUUCACCAAAAGAAUCCCACAAGAAGCUCAUAUGGAGGAUUUCAUAAAUCAAUUUUUUAAUAAAAGUCCAGUUGAUGUAUCCUUCCAAGAUCAAAAAGCUGGUACAAUUAUCAUGUAUGGAGAAUCUUUAAUCAUUUUGCGGCUGAGAGUUUUUAUACAUUCAGAAUAUUCAGGAAAUACAGAAAACCCAUUAUUUGGAAAGGUGUGGAUUGUGACAACCCAGACAGAUUUUAUAUUAGCAGGUUCUUUAAGAGGAUGGGAUUUUCAGAUGUUCCAGGGUGCCAUUUUAUUUGCUAUUCACACAAAAGAGGUUCCGGGUUUCAGGGAAUUUCUUCAGAAUAUAAAACCUGCCAGGAUGGAAAGAGAUGGUUUCCUCCAAAAUUUCUGGGAGCAAGCAUUUGAUUGUUCCUUUCCAGAUCCAGGUAUGCCUGUGAUGGAUGAUGACACAUGUACUGGAGAGGAGAGGCCAGAAAGUCUCCCUGCAGGUCUUUUUGAAAUGCACAUGACUGGACACAGCUACAGUAUCUAUAAUGCUGUUUAUGCUUUGGCCCAUGCUUUGCAUGCCAUGGACUUGGCUAGAUCCAAAUAUAAACCAAAGGUAGUUGGUAACAGUGUCGAACUUCAGUCUCUGCAGCCUUGGCAGGUAAUGUUUCCCCAACAAAUGCUUUGUAGUUCAGUGAACAGUUUGGUACAGGUUGAGAAUACAUUAAUUUUUGUUCUGCUUGGAUAGAUAAUGAGAAUAUUAUACAUGUUCUUCUUUUGAAAAUGUGGUUUACAUUUCCUUUCUAUGAAUGAAAGUUGAAAGGACGGCCAUUCUGAAAUCCUCAGCAUGCUGUUAUUCUGGUUUGAUUUCUUUCCCUCUUUUCAAAUAGCUCCACGUGUUUCUUCAUGACAUCUCUUUUAACAACUCUGCUAGAGAAACUAUGUCCUUUAAUGAUCAUUGGGAAAUGAGCGCUGGAUUUGAUAUCAUGAACCUGGUCACCUUCCCCAACAAUUCCUUUCAGAGAAUAGAAGUUGGAAGUGUUGCUCCAUAUGCUGCUGAUAGGAAAGUGUUUACCAUUAGUGAGGAUAAAAUUGUGUGGCACAAAUAUUUUAAUGAGGUAUUGAUUCUACAUUUAUUUUGGAGAACCCAUUGUAUUGAACUAUGACGUAAGGAGUGUUUUUGCUUGCAUUAAUUCUUUUUCAAAUUUAGAUGUUUCAUUCUCAAAUCCCUUCUUUCUAUCCAAACUUAAUCUAUCAUUUAUUUGAUAAUAUUGCAACCAGUCCAUCAGGUAUAUUCUAAUUUCUUCGAAUUUCUUUAAGUUGAAUUUAUUAUUGUUUUUUUCUAACAACAUCCUGUAUGUCGCCCAGUCUCCUUUCGUGUUCUUCUUUUUUACCACCAGGGCUUCUGUGGGUGACAUUGACUGGGGAAUCUUAGUUUCUAAUAAUGCUUUUUAUUUGGCCCAUAUUUUAUAAAGUUAUUUUCUUAUUAUGUGGUUCAAAAACCCCUUGUGUGCCUUCACCUUCUCAUACACCAGAUACACGUGCCAACCAAAGCAGUUAUCAAAACCCUCCAGAUCCAGCAUGUCCGUAUGUUUUAAUAUGAUCCAGUCUUUAAUCCAUACCAACCCGGCAGCUACAUGAUAUAAUUCCAAAUCGGGAAGAGUGAACCCUCCUCUCUCCCUCUGGUCUAUAUGUAACUGAUGUUUAAUUCUCGGCUUUUUCCCAUUCCAAAUGAAUCUAGUGAUGUCUUUCCUCCAAUUUUGAAAAUAUUCCAUGACCCCUAAAAUUGGGAUGGUCUGGAAUAGGAAGAUCAUUUUAGGUAAAAUAUUCAUUUUAACUGCUGAGAUUCUGCCCCAGACGGAGAGAUGAAGUAUUCCAAAUUUCUAAAUUUUUGUUUAUCUCAUUCCAGGUUUUGGUGUAAUUAUUAAUACAUUUUGUAGAUAUCCAGAUUCCCAAAUAUUUUGCUUUGUUCUUGAUCUCCAAACCCGUAAUUUCCUGUAGAUCCUUCUACUCCUCAGCUCUCAUGUUUUUAACCAACAAGUUGUGGUUUUUUUGUAGUUUAUUUUAAAUCCUGCUAGUUUACCAUAUUCAUUAAUCAAUUCUAUAGCUAAUGGGAUACUUUCUUUGGGAUCUUCUGUUGUUACUAUCUAGUCGUCUGCAUAGGCUCUUACUUUAUAUGCUUUUUCUCCUAUCACAACUCCUUUUAUUCUUUCCUUUUUUUCCAAAGUUUUCAUUAGAGUUUCCAACAUUAAUAUGAAUAAGAGGGGUGACAGAGGACAUCCUUGCCUAGUCCCUUUCAUAAUCUUGAUAUUUUCCAUGACAUCAUCAUUUAUUACCAGCCUUGCCCUUAUUCCCCUUUUGAACCUUUCUCCAAAUUCCAUUAAUUUAAUUUGCCUUUUCAUAAAACACCAGGAACCAUUGUCUAUUGCCUUCUUUGCAUGUAUUAGCAUCACAGCUGCCUGUUUUUCAUUCUUAAAUUCUAGAUAUUCCAAUAUAUUGACAAUAUUACUGGUGUUGUUUUAAAUUUGCCUUCCUGGUAGGAAUCCAGCUUGGUUUGGAUGUAUUAUUUCUUUUUAAACAUGUUUUAACCUAUCUGCUAGAAUACCAGUGAAAGGUUUGUAAUUGCAAUUCAACAGAGAUAUUGGUCUAUAAUUAGAUGCUAAUUCUAGAUCACUUCCCUGUUUUGGUAGCAGUGUGACAUAGGCUUCAGUCCAUGAUUCUGAUACCUUCCCUCUGUUACAAAUAUCAUUCAUUACUUCUUUUCAGGGUGUUGCCAAUGUCUCUUCUAUUUUUUGUAAUACUCCACUGGGAUUCCAUUUGGACCUGGCAUUUUCCCCGGUUUUGAAUUUCCAUAAUUGAAACAGGGGUGUUUAACGUCUUUAUCUUGUGUGGUGCUGGGAAUUUUAUGUUGAUUUAAAUAUUGUUCUAUUUCUUCUGGGUUUUCUAAUUCCUUUUUAUAUAGCUCUUUAUAGUAUUUCACAAAAUUUUGUAUAAUCAUUUUUGGGUCAUCUGUCACUCUCUCUCCAAUUCUAAAUCUGUUAAUUAAUUUUUCACUCCGCCUUUUUUUAAGUUGCCAAGCAAGAAACUUAUCCAGUUUAUUGGCAAAUUCAAAAUUGCUGUGUUUCAAGAUUUUCAGGUUCCAUUCAAUUUCUUGUUCUAACAUAGAUGAGUAGUCUGCUUGUAGUAAUUUUAUUUCUUGUUUUAUUAUCUCAUUGCUCAGGGGUUUUUUUUUAAUAAGUUCCUUUUCUUUCUUUCUUUUCCUCUAAUAAUUCUGCUUUUUUCCUUUUCUUUGAAAAGAAUUUUGCUGUAUAAAGUAACCCCUAAUCACUGCCUUGCAGGUGUCCCAAAUCACUUUGAUGUCGGUACCUUGAUUGUUAUUAAAUUCAAAAAAUUCAUCUAACGUCUUCUUGGCUCCUUGAACUACUUCCUAAUCAUUUAACAGAGAUCCAUUAAGUCUCCAUCUUCUUAUUCCUUUUAUACGUAUACCAUAAAUCAAACAAGUUACAUGGGCACAAACAUCAUGCACCUAUAUAACAUAGAUUAUUUUGUUUCAUUUGAAUGUGCUGCAAGGCUACCUCAAUUGCUAUGAUACUUCAUCAGUAAAUGAGAAAUAUAUCUUUUCAAUAUAAUGAAUUAUUUAAAAUAAAAUAAAGAACCAUAGAUCAUAUCAUAGAUUAUUUCGUUUCAUUUGAAUGUGCUGCACGGCUGUCUCUAUUGUUAUGAUACUUCAUCAGUAACUGAGAAAUUUUUUUUUCCAAUAUAACUAAUUCUUUUAAAAAACAAAAAAACAAAAAUUUAUAUGGACAGGUUGUUCCCUUUUCUAUGUGUAAUGAAUAUUGCCACCCUGGUCAUCAGAAGAAAAGGAAGGAGGGUGAGAAGUUUUGCUGCUAUGAUUGUGCUCCAUGUCCAGAUGGGAAGAUUUCAAACCAAACUG